GGUAUCAGAGGAUGAAACCUUAUAACAAUCUUAGGACACCUUCUGACACAGUGCUAUAACACUGUGAAUGAGAAGGCUUUUCUUUCUGAUGAUGCU
rfam:Oryza meridionalis cultivar OR44 (W2112) chromosome 2, whole genome shotgun sequence.